UCCUUCUCCCUGUGAAUUUUUCUUUUUCUAAUACCACCACCAUCGUUAUCAUCAACAUCAAAACCAAACCCUUAGUAUUGUCGUUGAGGAAUAAUGGUAUCGUCAUUACCAGCAUAUGAACAAUUUCUUCUGCUUUUUUAUUUCACUUUUGUGAAGUAAACCCUAGAUUCAGAUUUGUUUUCUUCUCCUUUUGAUUUUUUCCGCUCAAAAUCUUUAGCCCGAUUACCAAUCUAGGUCGGAUUCAUCCUCAUCAUGCUAUUUUCUGGAUUUUUUCCCUCCUAUGGAAACUCUAAUUUGUUCACAAUAAAUUACAAUUUUUGACCUAGUGAGGGAAAUCGGAAUUAAUCCGAUUGCAAGCGAAGCUGUGUUCUAACCAGGAUGAGAUGAUCAUGUUAGCCAGGUUCUAUGAACCCUACAAGGGAAUUGGAGAGUGUUUUGGAUGAAUAAUCAAGGAAGAAAGAUUUGGGUCAUUGUGGAGAGGAAACAUAGCCAGUGUCAUGCGUUACUUUCCUUCGAGUUUGUUGUUUAAUUUAACCUAAUUAUGUUCUCAUAUUCUGGAUUAUUGAAGCUUAAUCACUAACUUGUUUUAAAAUCUGUAAGGCUUUGAACUUUGCAUUCAAGGAUAACUUCAAGAGGCUCUUUAGUUUCAAGAAGGACAAAGAUGGUUACUGGAAUUGAUUUGCUUGUAACUUGGCAUCUGGAGGUGCUGCCGGUGCUUCUUCAGGACGCUGUAUCCAUCUUGCCAGCCUUUCACUAAGGAUAGUUGUCAUCUACCACCAAAUGAAUUCCUGUUACAACAGCAAUGUCUUUGAUAUCCUACUUCCAUGAACCAAAGAGCUAUCCCUGCUCACAAAUUGGAAUGUGUUGUGCUUCAGUUUAUGACUAUCUUUUCCUUACUUUGUCAAUUUAUUCAGUAGUUUAGACAAGGACAUGACAUUUUCUGUUACACUACAUAUCCUGGAAAAAAAAAGUUUCUAUUUGUUUUCCUGUUCCAUUGUAAACUAAAAAAAAUGCUCUCACUGACUCAUAUUAUUUUAUGUUAGUAAAUCCUCUGGGUGUACUAUGAGUUAUAAGGUUGAUUAAACCGUUUUCUGUUACAGAGAAUACAAGCUGGUGCUGUGAAAGUUCUUUCAAUGUUGUGCAUUGUGGCAGAGAAUGCACAGCCAUAUCUGUUUGGAAGUGUAUGCUGUUUUCCGAUGAUGCACAGUUUCAGGUCAAGAACUUGAGGAGGAGGUCUUACCAUAAUAGCUCUGCCUACAUAAGAAUGCUCAUGAUUUUAUCCCCUAAACAUCGUACCAUGGUUGGUUUUUUAAUUUCAGUAUGAUAGAGGGAACCAUCUUGCCAGCGAAUCACAAAGCUAGUUUGAGGUGGAGGAUUGCUAAGGACAACACAUUGAGGAACUUAGGUGCAGUCCUCCAGAUGAGGAGGGGAAAGUUUCCUGUAGGCUUAGCAGAAGGGGCGCUCUGAGCACUUUGCUUGCAAGCACUAGGUCAGAGACACUCUCAGGCCUAUCUAAUUGAAUACAUACCAAAGGAACAAAGGGACUGUGAAAGUGAGAGCCUAGCAUGUACAAAUUCAGGUCCUGCUCAUAAUUGGCGACCUUGGCUAAAAGUGGGGAGUGAAUUUUAGAUUGUUAUAGCAUGUUUUGAAAUGUAGGAAAUGUUUCUAUACUUGCCAUUCAUUUGAUACUUCACACUUAAUGUCUCUAGUAACUUUUGAUACUUUGUUUGUUAUAUAGCUGAAUUGA